CGGCGCACGGGUGAGUAACACGUAUCCAACCUGCCUCAUACUCGGGGAUAGCCUUUCGAAAGAAAGAUUAAUAUCCGAUAGCAUAUAUUUCCCGCAUGGGUUUUAUAUUAAAGAAAUUCGGUAUGAGAUGGGGAUGCGUUCCAUGGAGUUUGUUGGGGGGGUAACGGCCCACCAAGACUACGAUGGAUAGGGGUUCUGAGAGGAAGGUCCCCCACAUUGGAACUGAGACACGGUCCAAACUCCUACGGGAGGCGGCAGUGAGGAAUAUUGGUCAAUGGACGCGAGUCUGAACCAGCCAAGUAGCGUGAAGGAUGACUGCCCUAUGGGUUGUAAACUUCUUUUAUAUGGGAAUAAAGUUGUCCACGUGUGGAUUUGCGUAUGUACCAUAUGAAUAAGGAUCGGNCAACUCCGUGCCAGCAGCCGCGGUAAUACGGAGGAUCCGAGCGUUAUCCGGAUUUAUUGGGUUUAAAGGGAGCGUAGGCGGAUUGUUAAGUCAGUUGUGAAAGUUUGCGGCUCAACCGUAAGAUUGCAGUUGAUACUGCGUGUCUUGAGUACAGUAGAGGUGGGCGGAAUUCGUGGUGUAGCGGUGAAAUGCUUAGAUAUCACG
rnacentral:rRNA from 1 species